AUUAAAAACACAGCACUCUGCAAACACGAAAGUGGACGUAUAGGGUGUGACGCCUGCCCGGUGCCGGAAGGUUAAUUGAUGGGGUUAGCGCAAGCGAAGCUCUUGAUCGAAGCCCCGGUAAACGGCGGCCGUAACUAUAACGGUCCUAAGGUAGCGAAAUUCCUUGUCGGGUAAGUUCCGACCUGCACGAAUGGCGUAACGAUGGCGGCGCUGUCUCCACCCGAGACUCAGUGAAAUUGAAAUCGCUGUGAAGAUGCAGUGUAUCCGCGGCUAGACGGAAAGACCCCGUGAACCUUUACUGUAGCUUUGCACUGGACUUUGAGCCUGCUUGUGUAGGAUAGGUGGGAGGCUUUGAAGCGUGGACGCCAGUUCGCGUGGAGCCAUCCUUGAAAUACCACCCUGGCAUGCUUGAGGUUCUAACUCUGGUCCGUAAUCCGGAUCGAGGACAGUGUAUGGUGGGCAGUUUGACUGGGGCGGUCUCCUCCUAAAGAGUAACGGAGGAGUACGAAGGUGCGCUCAGACCGGUCGGAAAUCGGUCGUAGAGUAUAAAGGCAAAAGCGCGCUUGACUGCGAGACAGACACGUCGAGCAGGUACGAAAGUAGGUCUUAGUGAUCCGGUGGUUCUGUAUGGAAGGGCCAUCGCUCAACGGAUAAAAGGUACUCCGGGGAUAACAGGCUGAUACCGCCCAAGAGUUCAUAUCGACGGCGGUGUUUGGCACCUCGAUGUCGGCUCAUCACAUCCUGGGGCUGAAGCCGGUCCCAAGGGUAUGGCUGUUCGCCAUUUAAAGUGGUACGCGAGCUGGGUUUAGAACGUCGUGAGACAGUUCGGUCCCUAUCUGCCGUGGACGUUUGAGAUUUGAGAGGGGCUGCUCCUAGUACGAGAGGACCGGAGUGGACGAACCUCUGGUGUUCCGGUUGUCACGCCAGUGGCAUUGCCGGGUAGCUAUGUUCGGAAAAGAUAACCGCUGAAAGCAUCUAAGCGGGAAACUUGCCUCAAGAUGAGAUCUCACUGGGAACUUGAUUCCCCUGAAGGGCCGUCGAAGACUACGACGUUGAUAGGCUGGGUGUGUAAGCGUUGUGAGGCGUUGAGCUAACCAGUACUAAUUGCCCGUGAGGCUUGACCAU
rnacentral:rRNA from 1 species